GCAAGUCUGGUGCCAGCAGCCGCGGUAAUUCCAGCUCUAAUAGCGUAUAUUAAAGUUGUUACAGUUAAAAAGCUCGUAGUUGAACUUCGGGCCUGGCUGACCGGUCCGCCUCACCGCGUGCACUGGUCCGGCCGGGUCUUUCCUUCUGGCAAACCUCAUGCCCUUCACUGGGUGUGUUGGGGAACCAGGACUUUUAC
rnacentral:rRNA from 1 species